ACAGGCCACACCAGGGACUCAGUACAGUGCCAUGUGAAAGUUAAGGAUCUUAGACAAACCUACCAGAAAACCAAAGAAGCAAACGGAAGGUCCGGGGCAUGGCCUAAAACAUGCCGCUUCUACGCUGAGCUGCAUGCAAUUCUAGGGGGGUCCGCUACCACUACCCCACCCCUGUCCGUGGAUUCCGAGGUGGGUGUAAUCUCAGCCAUGCCUGAGGAUUCUGUGCCCGCGAAGAGGAGGAGGAGGACGAGCUUGCAGAGAGCACACAGCACGCCGUUCUCCCCAACAGCCAGGAGCUUUUUCUCACCUUGACAGAAUUACCUUCCCAGCCCUCCCAAGCCACUAGCCCAGACAAUGAAGCCAUGGAAGCGACCUCUGCUGCAAAUUUUUCAAGCCUCCCUACUCCGUCCUGAAGGCUAUCUCAGACAAGGCGGCGGAAAAAAAAGACGCGAGACGAAAUGUUCUUGGAAAUCAUGGAAGUGACCCACAAUGAAAGAGCUCAUCUGAAUGAGUGGAAGGACGUGGUAGGAAAUUACAGGAAAGAUGCCAGUGACCGUGAGGACAGGAGGGAUGAACAUGAGGACAGGAGGGACGAACGUGAAGAGAGGAGAGACGCUCAAGAUGAGAGGUGGCGGCAGGAAGAUCAGCGGUGGCAAGAUGCAAUGCUGGGGCUGCUGCGUGAUCAAACUGACAUGCUCCGGCGUAUGCUGGAGCUUCAGAAAUGGCAGCAGGAUCUUAGAGUGCCACUGCAGCCCCUGUAUAACCACCCUCCCCCCUCACCAUGUUCCUUAGCCUCCUCACCCACCAGAUGAGUAAGAACGCGUGGGGGGAGGCUCCGUGCAGCUGCCCACUCCAACCCAGUGGACAGCCCAACCAAAAGGCUGUCAUUAUUAUGAAAUUUUUUUAGUGGCCUUUUCCUUCCCUCCUAUCCUCCUCCCAAACCCCACCUGGGCUACCUUGUCAGUUCUCUCCCUCUUUUUAUAAUUAAUUAAUAAAGAAUACAUGAUUUUUAAACAA